AACGUAGGUGGCGAGCGUUAUCCGGAUUUACUGGGCGUAAAGAGCGCGCAGGCGGUCGAUCAAGUCGAGUGUGAAAGCCCCCCGGCUCAACUGGGGAGGGUCAUUCGAUACUGAUCGACUCGAAGGCAGGAGAGGGUAGUGGAAUUCCCGGUGUAGUGGUGAAAUGCGUAGAUAUCGGGAGGAACACCAGUGGCGAAGGCGACUACCUGGCCUGUUCUUGACGCUGAGGCGCGAAAGCUAGGGGAGCAAACAGG
rnacentral:rRNA from 1 species